AGAGUGUUGGAGGUAGAGCACUGAUUGGGCUAGGGGCCCUCAUCGGGUUACCGAACCCAGUCAAACUCCGAAUGCCAAUGACUUAUCCUUGGGAGUCAGACUGCGAGUGAUAAGAUCCGUGGUCAAGAGGGAAACAGCCCAGAUCGCCAGCUAAGGCCCCUAAGUGCACGUUCAGUGGAAAAGGAUGUGGAGUUGCGAAGACAACCAGGAUGUUGGCUUAGAAGCAGCCACCAUUUAAAGAGUGCGUAAUAGCUCACUGGUCGAGUGACUCUGCGCCGAAAAUGUACCGGGGCUAAACGUGCCGCCGAAGCUGCGGGAUGACCGUUGGUCAUCGGUAGGGGAGCGUUCUAAGGGCAGAGAAGCCAGACCGGAAGGACUGGUGGAGCGCUUAGAAGUGAGAAUGCCGGUAUGAGUAGCGAAAACAGAGGUGAGAAUCCUCUGCGCCGAAAGCCUAAGGGUUCCUGAGGAAGGUUCGUCCGCUCAGGGUUAGUCGGGACCUAAGCCGAGGCCGAAAGGCGUAGGUGAUGGACAACAGGUGGAGAUUCCUGUACCACCUCCUUCCCGUUUGAGCGAUGGGGGGACGCAGGAGGAUAGGGUGAGCAGGCGGCUGGAAGAGCCUGUCCAAGCAGUGAGGCUGGCCAGCAGGCAAAUCCGCUGGCUAAAAGGCUGAGCUGUGAUGGCGACGGAUUCAAUCCGGAAGUCCCUGAUUCCACACUGCCAAGAAAAGCCUCUAGCGAGGGAAGAGGUGCCCGUACCGCAAACCGACACAGGUAGGCGAGGAGAGAAUCCUAAGGCGCGCGGGAGAACUCUCGUUAAGGAACUCGGCAAAAUGACCCCGUAACUUCGGGAGAAGGGGUGCUCUUUCGGGUGAUGAGCCUGGAAGAGCCGCAGUGAAAAGGCCCAAGCGACUGUUUAUCAAAAACACAGGUCUCUGCGAAGCCGAAAGGCGAAGUAUAGGGGCUGACACCUGCCCGGUGCUGGAAGGUUAAGGGGAGCGCUUAGCGCAAGCGAAGGUGCGAACCGAAGCCCCAGUAAACGGCGGCCGUAACUAUAACGGUCCUAAGGUAGCGAAAUUCCUUGUCGGGUAAGUUCCGACCCGCACGAAAGGUGUAACGACUUGGGCACUGUCUCAACGAGAGACCCGGUGAAAUUAUACUACCUGUGAAGAUGCAGGUUACCCGCGACAGGACGGAAAGACCCCGUGGAGCUUUACUGCAGCCUGAUAUGGAAUUUUGGUAUCGCUUGUACAGGAUAGGUGGGAGCCUGAGAAGCCGGAGCGCCAGCUUCGGUGGAGGCGGCGGUGGGAUACCACCCUGGCGGUAUUGAAAUUCUAACCCGCACCCCUUAGCGGGGUGGGAGACAGUGUCAGGUGGGCAGUUUGACUGGGGCGGUCGCCUCCCAAAAGGUAACGGAGGCGCCCAAAGGUUCCCUCAGAAUGGUUGGAAAUCAUUCGGAGAGUGCAAAGGCACAAGGGAGCUUGACUGCGAGACGGACAGGUCGAGCAGGGACGAAAGUCGGGCUUAGUGAUCCGGUGGU
rnacentral:rRNA from 1 species